rnacentral:rRNA from 1 species
CAGCCGCCACGGUAAUACGUAGGGUGCGAGCGUUAAUCGGAAUUACUGGGCGUAAAGCGUGCGCAGGCGGUGAUGUAAGACAGUUGUGAAAUCCCCGGGCUCAACCUGGGAACUGCAUCUGUGACUGCAUCGCUGGAGUGCGGCAGAGGGGGAUGGAAUUCCGCGUGUAGCAGUGAAAUGCGUAGAUAUGCGGAGGAACACCGAUUGCGAAGGCAAUCCCCUGGGCCUGCACUGACGCUCAUGCACGAAAGCGUGGGGAGCAAACAGGAUUAGAUACCCCCGUAGUCCCUGUCUCUUAUAC